UGGUGGAGAGUGUGGCAGAGCCAGACCAGACGAGGACUGAUCACCUGGAGAAGCAUGCUGUCAAAGGCCUUGUUCUGAAGGCCAGAAUUCUAAAGUCAGUCCCACUGACUCAAGGUGGGAGCAGGGCAGGCACC
rnacentral:lncRNA from 1 species